UACGAAGGGGGCUAGCGUUGCUCGGAAUCACUGGGCGUAAAGCGCACGUAGGCGGUUCUUUAAGUCAGGGGUGAAAUCCCAAGGCUCAACCUUGGAACUGCCUUUGAUACUGGGGAUCUCGAGUCCGGAAGAGGUUGGUGGAACUGCGAGUGUAGAGGUGAAAUUCGUAGAUAUUCGCAAGAACACCAGUGGCGAAGGCGGCCAACUGGUCCGGAACUGACGCUGAGGUGCGAAAGCGUGGGGAGCAAACAGG
rnacentral:rRNA from 1 species